UGUGUUUGAACCUUUUAUGGAAAGCGAAGCUUGGACAAAUAUUUGGUAUAAACUUGUUUGCAAUAAAAUUGUAUAAACCACAAUUUGUAAACGAUUCAGAUUAAACCACUAGCUGGAAAAGACGCCAAGCUGCAGAGGAAACAAAUGCUGCAUAUUGAUAAAAGCAGAACAUAUCAGUUGGAGCUGCAGAGGAAUCAAAACAAAAUACCUAAAGAGAAGAAAUGCAUGUGUCUCCACUAGCUGGAGAAGACACCAAGCGAAUAGAUUCACAAAAGGAGAAGACGAGCAGUGAGAUUCGCAAACUAGAUUGGCGAACUGUGCGAUUACAUCAAGAGAGGAAGUUGCUCUGCUCGAGUUUGGGGUUCCCGCGCUCUUGCGCGGUUUGGUGUUGACGGGAGGAUACGGAAUGUUAUUUUUGAUGAGAAUAACAGUUUUAAGGUGGUAUAUAAGUAAAUAUGAAAGUUUAGGUGUUAAAUAGUUAAAUAGACUUAUUUUAAGUGUUAAUUAUGUAAAAAUUCCAAAAUUAUAACACCGAAUACGGAAUUUAUCCCGAUAACAACGAAUACGGCAUUUAUCCCGAUAACAACGGAACUACUAGCUGUGCAGAGCGCUCAUGCUACUACCACGCGAGCAGUAGAGUCGAAUUGGAAGCUUCAAUUCAAAAAAUCGGAUGCGCGUAUGCACGACAACAACUUCCUGCACCCCUCGAUCUGGUUCUUUUAGAGUGACUUUCUUUUUCGCUGUUUUGGGAAUCUAGGGUUUGCCGAAACCAUCUUCACUCAUCUCGAUGCCAUGGCGAUGCCUGGGGUUGACUUCAAGUGGUACGAUGGGUUCUUCCUGUCUAUGCUAGCGACCAGCAUUAUAAUCGUUUCGAUCAAGUGGAAGCGGUACCAUCUCUGCGUGCAUCCUUUGCACAUUUGGAUUGUGGUGGACUAUUCUAUCGUGUUCAUGUUCAGGUUGCUGAUGUUUCUGGACAAUGGGCUUGCUGCGGGAAUGGGUUUGUAAGAACUUUCUUUUUUUAGCAAGUUCGUAUUCUUCUUUAAAUUUUCUUAAUUCACAUUUUGUGGAUCUGAAAUUACUGUGCUAUAAUGACCGCCAUAUUUCCUUUAACUGACUUAUAUAACAUUAAGGGACAACGCAUCAUUUCUUUUUAUGGAAAAUCGAAUUAAAUAUUUGUCAGGCUGGUACAUUUUGAUUACACUUGAUAAAUUAUUGCGAGCUCAGGACAAAACCUAUUUUUUCUAUUAUGCUAUUUAAAAGCCCAAAACUGAUAUUCUGUUUUGCUUUGACAUUUACCGGUAUAUACCACUAUCCACAAUGUUUAAGUUCGGCCAAGGAUCACCUGUGAAAAGUCCUCAGCAGGUCUGUAUUGUUGGUUGAAAUGAAUGUCAACUUGAAAGUGUUUUAGAAAUAAGUAUUUUAGUUAGCUUUGAAAGACUUUUGGGCCGAAGAGGGUUUAAAGCUGGACAUUUCAAAUCACCAAGCUGACUACCAAAAAUGGAUAAUUUUCUAGUUUCAUCUGAUAAAGCGCUCUUUGCCAGAUAUGUUGAAAUGGGUUCCAAUGGUAUUUAUUUCACAUUAAUUUGGCAAGACAUCUGAAACAUUGACCAAUUUAUUCCCUUAUCUACAAGGUGUUUGUUACAUGUCAAGCUUACAUCUUAGAUGUGAAAAUAUUUAUUUUGGUGUUUUAAAGAUGUGUUGGUUUUGAUUAAAUUUCUUCACUUCCCCAUUUUAUACUUUUGACUGCUCCAUUAUAAUUACAUGAAUGUGUUGAAUUGAUUACUCAUUUAGAUAGAUUUUUCUUUUCCUAUGUAAUAAAAUACAUUUUUUUUCUCAAAAUAAAUUUGGAUUCAUGCCGGGUAGGUCUACU